rnacentral:tRNA from 1 species
GCGGAAGUGGCGGACUUGGUAGACGCACCAGAUUUAGGUUCUGGCGCCGCAAGGUGUGAGAGUUCAAGUCUCUCCUUCCGCACCA